GAGGUCAAAGUUUCUUUUCCGGUGAAAGUUGUAUAACUUUAGAGUUGCCAUGGUAACAUAACGUUUAGGGAAGUGCAGAGUGCAACAAAAUCAGCUGGACCAGCACGAAAAUAGAGAGUAAGAUAUAGUCAUGUUUGAACUAGCAACACAUCCGAAAUGUGUAGACUGGCUUAACAGCCAGACAGCCAGCUAAUGACUCAACAUUAAGUAAAUUGUCAAAGCAUCACAAACAUGUCAGGUUGGAUGGUGACGGGAAGUUCACAGAUUCUCAGGGACUUGUUUGGACUGGAGGCAUCCACAACAAGGCAGCUCCUGGCUUGAAACUUAAACUCAACAUGGAACCCAUGAGGGCCUCCUGGGUGGCGCAGUGGUCUAAGCUGUGCCACCAGAGAUUCUGGGUUCGAGCCCAGGCUCUGUCGGAGCCAGCCGCAACCGGGAGGUCCAUGGGGCGACGCACAAUUGGCCCAGCGUCGUCCGGGUUAGGGAGGGUUUGGCCGGCAGGGAUAUCCUUGUCUAAUCGCGCACUAGAGACUCCUGUGGCGAGCCGGGCGCAGUGCACGCUGACCAGGUC